UACACAUAUAGGUAUCAUACAGUAAACCAUCUUUCAUAUUCUUUAUUCUAAACCAAUAUUUUAGCAUUGAUAAUACAAUUGAAAAAUAUAAAGGGAAUCUACCAAGCUCUCCUAGCACAGCUAGGUUAGAAGACUUUUUGUUUACACCUAAUAUAUACUUCAUAUAUCUUAAAUUGGAUUUAUCUAAAAAAUCAUUCAUAUAAAUGUGCUGUAAUAAAUAUUCACUUUCUUUCUGGCAUGCUGCAGAGCUAGUUUUAAACAUACCUGUAAUUUCACUGCCAUACAUUAAAAUGGGUUUUAUUGUAUGGUCAUAUAUAUAUGUAAUAGAGUAGAAAUACUUGGAUUGGAAGAUGAUAAAGAUCUUUGCAAUUUGAAUACAGCUUUUAGUGAUUUUUUGUAUAAUUCUUCCUUUCCCUGCUUAAAAAGUCCAC
rnacentral:lncRNA from 1 species